ACACACACACAACUCACCCACAGUCACAGUAAAGGACGGAAAGAAAAAAAAAGAAAGGGGAGUGAGGGUUGUGAGAGAAGAGGGUGGACCCGAGAGAGGGAGAGCACUGGGAAAGAGAGGGCCACACUGCUAUCGCCGCCAGAACCGUGAGGAGAGGGAGUCGCGCCAUCAGCCGCGCCACCACCAUCCAGCCCAUCGCGCCACUGCCACAGUGCCGUCGUGGUCGUCGAGAAGAAAAGAGAGGGAGAAGAAGAACGCGAGCCAGUAGCCAAGGGGAGGAGCCUCGUGCGUCAACAUCAUCGUUGCUCGCCGUCACCCUCACCACGUAUCACCGCUGUUGAGUUGCUGCGCGCAGACAGGAGUAGUUGUCGUUGCUGUCUUGGAGCCAUCAACGUCGCCAACCCACACAUCAUCACCGCCGCGAACCACAAACAGAGGAGAAAGAUAGAGACGCUUUCGCGAGGGAGUUGCCAUCGUGGAGGAGCCGCCGCCGCCAAAUCUGCCGCUACCGAAGCUCUACGCAGCCUGUGCUGCCGGAAACCGCCACUGAAGUCCUUUUUCUCUGGUAAUGUAGGGUUGAGUUGUGGUUCUUGCAUGCUGAGUGCAGUACCCGUGCAUGCGACAUCAAGUUACUACUUCGUCAACAGAGUCAUCGCCGUUCUAUUUUUCUGGAUGCUCGUUGAGUUCAGUUCUUACGUGCCGUGGUUAAAGUUGUUGUGCUUGCUGUGAAAGAAAUCAGGGCUGAGGCUUAAGUUGCCGUUGAUUUCGGGCUGAGCAAAAAGAGUUCAGUUGACACGUGUGGGUUAUGAUUUUGCUUAUCAAGAAAUGAUGAUGGAUGAAUGAUUAUGAAUAAACAUAUGUGGCUUCCGCACGUUUAUUUGAGAUACGAGUUCUCUGGGUAAAGAACCAUGGCUUGCCACCACGUGUUCCAGGUUGGAUCUCGAUACUCUGUUAAUCCUACGUCGUAAGGGUGACCGGGCACGUAUAAAUUUCCGGGUAUGGAUAACCCCUAGUGAGUGAUUUGAAUGAUGUAUGAAUGUAAAAUCUAUGCAUAGACUCAUGGGGAUGCGCGACGGGGGAUAGUCUAAGGACAAUUCAGACUUGUCGGGUUGGCUGGAUAACCGACAGAUGAGCCUCAUCAGCCAUAGGACAGGCAUGCAUCAUAUGCAUUUAUAUGACAUUAUUUGGGUGUACAUAUUGUAAUUAGUUUGUCUAUGUGAAUAGUUAUGUGUAAUUGCUUAUUGCUCUA